rnacentral:rRNA from 1 species
CUACGGGGUGCUGCAGUGAGGAAUAUUGGACAAUGGGUGCAAGCCUGAUCCAGCCAUCCCGCGUGAAGGAUUAAGGUCCUAUGGAUUGUAAACUUCUUUUAUACAGGGAUAAACCUCUCCUCGUGAGGAGAGCUGAAGGUACUGUAUGAAUAAGCACCGGCUAACUCCGUGCCAGCAGCCGCGGUAAUACGGAGGGUGCAAGCGUUAUCCGGAUUUAUUGGGUUUAAAGGGUCCGUAGGCGGGCCGAUAAGUCAGUGGUGAAAUCUCGCAGCUUAACUGUGAAACUGCCAUUGAUACUGUUGGUCUUGAGUAAAGUUGAAGUGGCUGGAAUAAGUAGUGUAGCGGUGAAAUGCAUAGAUAUUACUUAGAACACCAAUUGCGAAGGCAGGUCACUAAGAUUUAACUGACGCUGAUGGACGAAAGCGUGGGUAGCGAACAGGAUUAGAUACCCCAGUAGUC